rnacentral:lncRNA from 12 species
UUAAAAAGCCCAGUCUGGACCUCGGUUUCAACCUGCGUCAACCAGAAAGUCAGAACUGACACUGCCAAGUAUGACCUGUCUCACGAGGAAGAAUUACCACCAGGCUGAAGCAGUUCACCUCCUCUUCCCUCUCUCACAUAAUCCCUUCGACUCUGGACUAACAGUGGACAAGAGGGACUCGUUACAUCUUUGGCAGAUGCGUCGGACUUCUAUAACUUGGGAUGAACUGAAUGACCAACAUCUGGGGACCUAGUUCAAGGAUAGAAUUCUUUAGGGCUCAUGCCUGUAAGGAAAAGGCUCUUUGGGAACUGCCAUUAAGAAUAACCUGGGGGGGAAAAGAAAAAGAAUAACCUGGGGGAGAGAGAGGUAAACUAUGGAUUUUAUCAGCAGCUCUCAAAUCAUGACUUCAUCAAUCCUGAUCUGUAACUUCGUUGGGCUCUAUUUACCCAACUCUGCUUAAGGGUUAGUGUUGGCCCCUUUGACAUGGGGGCUUGGACCAUGUAGAGCAAGUGCAGGCUGCAGAGCAAACCUCACAGGAGGUACUCCUCAUAAUCCUAGAUGACAAAGACCCUGCCUUCAAUCACCCCAUAUGCUUGGCUGCUACUACCCACCCUCCUCUUGAAGUCAAGACAAGGAAGCUGUCCAGUGAGAAGGAAAAGAACUUACGGGCUUGGAGUUGAAGCAAAAAGUCCAGGAAAGUUUCCGAGGCCUCUCCCUGCCUUAGCAGUAUCAAUGGAGAAGAGUUCCUUUGGCUAUCAGAGGGAGGAAGAAUCCACCCAGGAAAGAAAAGCACCUGGUAGAAAUGCCACAGCACGACAUGCCAUGAGAAGGUGCUCCCACCACUUCUCUAAUGUUUCCUUGGCUCCACCAGGGACCAGAGCCCGGUGCAACGCCUGUAUCACAUACGUGGAAUACUCCAGAGUGCUCUUGGACAAGCCACCUAAUGUCUCACUUCAUUCUCGACAGGGUAGGUAUUACAGUGUGAAUACUCCCGUUGUUCAGGCGAGGUAA